AGUAGUGUGGUCGAGUGGUCCAAGGCACUAGAUUUAGGCUCUAGUCUCUCUGAGCAGGAGGAUUCAAAUUCUACCACUGUCA
rnacentral:tRNA from 1 species